AAGGUUUUAAGUGUUCUGUGGAAUUUUGAAGGACCUCUCCUCCUAACAGCCAUUUAAGCUACUCUUCUGAUUUGAACUCCUAUCUCCAGGGUUAUUGUGAAGACCAAAGAAGACUGUGUCCAUGUGCACAAAUGUAAGGGUUCUUAACAUCAGCACAUUUUCCAGCCUCCUUUUUCAGGCAUCUGCAGUGAUUCCCCUCACCGCCUCACAAAGGCCAGUUUGUUUGCUUUCUUUCCAGUACCAUUUUCUGCCUUCCUACCCCUCAUACUGACACAAAAUUUGCACAACCGAGACCUCAAAUUCUUUCUGACAUUUCUUUAGGAUCUCUAGUAGCUUGACUAUAAGGAGAAGCAAGGCUGAUCACACUAUCCCUAUGAGGGGAGAGGUAGGAAGGCCUGAUCUAAACUACGACCAGCGUGGCCUAACAAUUAAGCUGUUCUAUGUGCUUUCCAAAUGGUUUAGAUAAAUGAAAGAUUCUGUCCAUUCCAACAAUGAUGCCUGAGACAAAUACAGACAACAAGGAGGCAGCCAGGAGAAGACAAAGAUGCCAGUCGCAGCUUCCCUGCGGGACAGUCACCCCAGGUCUGCUUGCCUCCCUGUACCCUUGCUCACAGGGUGCCAGGCUCCAGCAGCACUCUUCUCCUCACCACUGUGCAGAGCUGAAUGCUAACAUCCUGAAUGGCACUCAGAAUAAACAACUUUAAAUUAA